AAAGAACAAAGUUUUGUCCAUCUUUGUUCAUCAUAGCCUAAAGUUAGAGAAGAGAAAGGAGAGGAGAAAGCUCUUGAAUGUUCGGUCACUUGGGGAAGAAAAUUGAAGGUAAGUUCAUGGUAGUUUGCUUCUAUCUUGAUGUUCAUGAGUUCUUCUUGAUUCUACCUUAACUCUUGAAGCAUAUUUUGGUUUUUAGUUGUGUUGUGAGCAUUUAGUCAUGAAUUAAAAUGAAGGAAAUGGUUGUUGUUUCAUGUUCUUUUGAUGAAAAAUGGAAGAUAUGUGAAGUUGAGCCAAACAAAUGAGCAUGCAUGUGCCUUAGAUGCUAAGGGGAAAAAUCGGCUAACAUGUUGUGCUUUAAAAUGAUGAAAUGGAGGUUAUACUUAAGUAAAAUCAUAGAUAUGUGAUGAUUGAUUGGUGAUAUACAUGUUUAAAUAACAAGCAUGCAAGUUAGGUGUGAAAGAGUGAUUUGGUAAUAAAUCUGCUUGGGACAGCAGCAGUAAUGUGAAUUUGGAAAAUCACCAUAAAUUGUGGGAGAUGAGUUAGAAGCUGCAUAAAUUAUGUAAUUAAAGAUUAAUGAGUCUAGUUUCAAAUGGAAUAAAUGGGAACAUAUUUUGAAUUCCGUACAAUGAGAAAUUUGAUUCGUAAUGAAGAGUGGUCAGAUUAGUCAAAUAGUGAAACAUGGGAAACUUUAAGAAAAAUCUGGUAUUGAUUGGUCAUACCAAAAAUUCUGAAAAUUUUAUGGAUAGAAGAUAUAUGAGUCUAUUUUCAGGCAAAAUUAACGGUACUUGAUUUGGAGUUUCGUAGCUCCAGUUAUAAAUAAUUUAGUGACUGUUGCUCAGGAAGACAGCUUGCAGUGAAAUUAUGAUUAUGUGGUAAACAUUGACAAAAAAUUGUUAAUGAGUUGCUUAUUGUUUUCUUAUAAGCUUACUAUGAUCUGUAGGUGUGGUUGGCCGAAAAUUGUAAGGGGUUAAUACGUAGUUCGUAUUUGAAUAGUUAGAUUAAUGUGUUAGUAAUCCAAUUGUAGGCAGUUCGUGUGUGGAUCUCGUCAGCAUAUCGUCGCAAACAGGUGUGUAACUAACACCUUCUUUCUUAAUCUGGAUUGGCAAAAGUCGAAAAGUUGAAAUGCCGAAAAUCGGUAUUUUGUAGAUUUGCGAGUGUGCGAAUGCUCGUGAGGUAAAUCGAUUAAUGUUUUUGGUAAGCUGCAAAAUUUGGACUGCAAAGUGCAUGAUUUCUGUGCCCUCGAUAUUUUUGGGCUUAAUGGGCCAAAAUUGGAAUGAUGGGCCAACAGGCCCAAUUCGGUAAGAACCCUCGGUAGUGAUUCUGUUAGUACGUGAAAGGUAGGAAUAUGCAUGAAAAACCCUAAAAUAGAUAAAUUACUGAAAUACCUUUAAAAGUAAAAAAUUUACAGUUUUACCCCUAGGAGAUAAAUUACCGAAAUACCCAUAGGGUUAAAUUGACCUAAAUGCAUGUUUGACUGUUGUUAUUUACUGCAUGCCAUGUUGUUAUUAUCUGAUGCAUGGGACUGGGAUAUUGACGGAGGAAGUACUGAAAGUGGCUUGUCCACGUACUGAAGGCUUUGCCUCAAUGUACUGUUAACUGAGCAGCAAGGCUGCAACUGUGGAGUGUUGGGUUGGGUGGGUUGAGCUAUUCCCCACAUGGAGUGUAUGGCUGGUACGGGUGGAGUGUAGUGGUUGGUGGGUUGAGUAGUCUCCCCAAAUGGGCUUGCAUAUGUUUACUGAUGUUGCAUGUAUUUUGAAAUGGGCCUAUAGGCCAUACUGUUAUCUGAAUAAGGGGCUAAGGCCCAGUUUAUUGUAAUCUGAAAAGGGCUCUGGCCCAGUAUCACUGUUACCUGAAUGGGCUUAGGCCCAAUAGGCUUGAGCUGACUUGGGCUUUGAAUGGGUUUUCCUUACACACUGAGUUUCCCCAAACUCACCCCUUUUAUUUUCAUCCACGCAGGAAAUCCCCAACCAUAGUGGGCUUGGAGCUGUGGGGGAAUUCAGAGUGGCCACUCGUUCUAAAAGUUUGAUUUUCUUCUGGUGAACUGGACAUCCUUUUAUUUACGUUUGAAGUUUUGGGUUUUUAAAUGUAAUAAGGCCGCUUAAUUAUUUUUGAUGGUUUUAAUAUGUAUUACUAAUAUAGAUAUUACUUAUUUUAACUGUUGAAAUUGGAUAGCUUUAGGGCGCGUUUUCAAAAACAAAAAUUGAUUUCAAAAUAACACGACAACAAGCAAAGCUUCUGCAAUGAAAGUAUUUUCCAAAAUUAAUCACUUUUCCUAAAAAUGACUUAAUCAAAUCGGUUUCCUAGAAAUAUCCAUGACGUUAAGGUGUGGCAAUGGCGGUAUGCAUGUCUAGGAUUGGAUCCG
rnacentral:lncRNA from 1 species